AGCAGCCGCGGUAAUUCCAGCUCCAAUAGCGUAUAUUAAAGUUGUUGCAGUUAAAAAGCUCGUAGUUGAAUUUUGGGUCUGGCCGGGCGGUCCGCCUUCUGGGUGAGUACUGUUCCGAUGUCGGGCCUAUCCUUCUGGUGAAUCGGCAUGCCCUUUACUGGAUGUGUCGGGGAACCAGGACCAUUACCUUGAAAAAAUUAGAGUGUUCAAAGCAGGCGCAUGCUCGAAUACAUUAGCAUGGAAUAAUGAAAUAGGACGCGUGGUGCUAUUUUGUUGGUUUCUAGAACCGCCGUAAUGAUUAAUAGGGAUAGUUGGGGGCAUUAGUAUUCAAUUGUCAGAGGUGAAAUUCUUGGAUUUAUUGAAGACUAACUUCUGCGAAAGCAUUUGCCAAGGAUGUUUUC
rnacentral:rRNA from 1 species